rnacentral:misc_RNA from 1 species
CAGUCUCCCAAGUGUCAUCAGUUAACCAC